GUUUCUGUUCUCUUAUCUCUGUCUCUUAUCUGCUCUUCGGAAACACUUCCUGCAUUUCAGCUAAAAAAGUUCUUGAAUUUUUGUCACGGGAUUUUUGAUCACAGCUGAGUCACAAAUGGCUUCACAGUUGUGUGAAAAGGCACAGAAUUUUUUGUUUUUUACAGAAUCUUGUUGGAGUAAAAAAUGAUUUAUUUUUCGUGAAUUUUGAUUUGAGGCAUAUAGAAUAAAGUUGAUCCAUUUGUGAAAAGCUUAGAUUGGAGUCAUUUUACUGACAGAACGACAGAUUAAUAGUUAACGGACGGUCAGAACGUUGAAAAUCCAAUCAUUCUAUAUGUUUUACUAUUUCUGACGUUUAAAAAAAUGGUGUAAUUUCUGAAACCCUCAUGAAAUUCUGUUGUCCAAUUUCCGCGAAUGCAACUGAAGUGUCCGAGUGCAAGUGAAAGCAGCAUCAGAGGACUAACGGCUGUUCGUGUUGCGGCCAGCUAACACAGAAACAAGAGAUCCUAGAAACAACCAAAAAAGAACUCUGGCAGCAUUUAGCAGCAAAAAGAGACAACAAAAUAAGACGAAUUAUUGCAGAGCAUAUCUGGAGUUGGGAUUUUCAUCUCUCCCUGGAGGAAAGGAGGACUUUACUGUGGACUCGGAUCUGGUACUGGGUUUUAGUGACGGAUUCUCCUGGAUCAGGUAGGGAUGUGUAGUAUCCGAUCUGAGAUAUGUAUUACUUAAAAAGUUAGUAAAAUGGAAUCUGUUUUUUUUUUCUUGUAUCUGAUAUGAGUUGCUUGUUAUAUGUAGUGUCUGCUCUGGUGUGGUUCUUUGUCUCUUACCACAGAUGGAACCUGAACUACACGUGCGACUAAUUUUACCCAUAUCAUUGGAAUGUGUGUUUCUGUCUGGGAAGGUUUAUGUUAAAGGUUCUUCUGUGUGUGGGAGAUCGUAAAGUGCCGUGGGGCACCCAUGUCUAGCUAGAAGAU